rnacentral:lncRNA from 1 species
UCUAGACUGAAGGAUCGCUCCCUAACUACUGAUGUGGUCCGUAAGUUGUGUCCUGACCUAUGCACAAAAGGCACAAAAGUGUAGUAUCAGCACAACCGACCCCAUGUGACGGUAAGUGCCCGGCCUAACCUCGGCAAGGUAGUGACGAGGCUAAACAGGACCUACCACAAUCAAUAUGUACAGAUAUAUGUGCAAUAACAGAAAGAUAGCAAAAAUUUUAACAGAUAAUAGGGAGGGGACAUGCUGGGGGUAUAACAGUUCAAUUAUAAAUCCGACAAACAAGAAAUGGAACUGAAUAUAUAACAUUAAUUAGAGAAAGCCAGUGAAUCAACAACUGCACGGCAUCACCCUUCGUGCUUUUACUCUCAUUUCUCACCAAAAUUGUCAAAUAGAAUGCACGACAUCACCCAUCGUGCUUUUACUCUCAAUAUACAGUGCACGGCAGCACCCUUCGUGCUUUUACUCUCAAUACAUAGUGCACGGCAUCACCCUUCAUGCUUUUCUCACAUAACUCUCAAAACGCAAGACACGAAAUGACCCUUCGUGCUAAAAUAAUCAAGAAACAUGGCACGGAAAGACCCUUCGUGCAUAAUCUCUCUCUUCCUCACCCAAUCAAUGGUCACAACCAAACGGGAAAGAAAUAUAUACCAAGAUGAAAUAUCCCGACAAGGGAUAAUAACUCAACAAUAAGUCCCGGUAAGGGAAUACAGCUCAACAAUAGGUCCCGGCAAGGGAAAAACAUCUCAACAAUAAGUCCCGGCAAGGGAAAAGUACCGAAAUUCCUCUGUAGUUCUUUUGCUUCUCAACUAUCACUUCAUAUAUCAUUUAACAAGUAAUUAUCACAAUUGUCCACUUCUUUCAACAUUUUAAUAGAAAUUAUGACUCACGGUCAUGCUAGACUCGGGCGCAUAGGUAAGCGUCACCAUGCCUAUACACUAACUCCACAUAGCACAUAGCAAAUAUUAUCCUAAUCCUAUUUCCUCAAGCCAAAGUUAGAUCGAACACUUACCUCGAAUACAAAAAUAGCAACUCAAAGCUCAACAAUUGCACGUCCUCUAGAACUCGACGUCGGACCAACGAUAUCUAUUCACCUGAAAAUAGCAACUCAAAGCUAAAAAAUUGUCUUUCCUCUAGAAUUCGACCCCGAACCAACGAUAUCUAACAUAAAUCGAUAAAAUAUUAUCAAUAAUUGCACAAGAAUACAAUUUCCUAGCUUAGAAAUGCAUUUCCUAACUUUCUUCCAAAAAUACCAAAUUUCGACACCGGGACCACAUGGUCCAAACUCGAGGCUCAGACCAAAUUCCAAUUACCUAUAAAUCCACGAGUCCAAAUAUAUGAUUUGUUUUAAUAUUCGUCCCCAAAUUGAGGUUAAAUCGCCCAAAAUUCUCAAAAACCUAACUCUACUCAAAAGCCCUAAUUUCUACCAUGAUUUCAUUAAAUUGAGGUUGAAUCGCCCAAAAUAUUCAAAAAAACUAACUCUACCCGCCCUAAUUUCUACCAUGAUCUCGUGAUUUAGGGUUAGAAAAUUGAUGUUUUGAUGAAGGAAACAAGAAGAAAUGAAGCUAGGAUUACUUACCCAAUAAACUAUAAGGAAAUGGGAGCUUGAAUUUUGUCUAAUGGAGGAUUUUAGGAAGAUCUCAUGUGAGAAUUUGGGAAGAAAUCCCGUCACUGUUAUGUUUUUAGGCUUUUAAAAUCACUGGGCGAAUUUGGUCUAUGCGAUCGCGGGGCAACAGAUGCGAUCGCAUAGGGGAGUGCGAAGCUGGCUUAUGCGAUCGCAUACAAGGUCAUGCGAAUGCAUAGAAGAGAGGGAAGCCAAAGUUCUAGGUGGGGCUUAAUGCUAUACGAUCGCGUAAAAGGGGAUGCAAUCGCAUUGAAGAAGCUGGCCAAGCUAUGCGAUCACGUUGAAGGGGAUGUGAUCGCAUUUAACAAAGUGGGAGGGCUGGCAAGGGACUCUAUACGAUCGCAUAGAGGAAUAGAUCUGUGCAAAAAUUGCAGAAAAUUUGCUAAGUUCAAAAAGCCAAAAAUAUCCCGAACCACCCCUGAAAAUACUCCCGAGCCCUCGGGGCUCAUAACCAUCCACACACACUAACUCAAUAUCAUCCUACGAACUUGCUCGAGCGAUCAAAUCGCCAAAAUAAAAUUAAAAUCAAAGAAUCAACCUCCAAAACUCAUGAUAUUCAUUUCAAAGUUCAAAUCUUUGAAAUUUUCCAUUUUUAGUCCGAAACACGUCUAGAAUCAACCUCCAAUACUCAUGAUUUUCAUUUCAAAGUUCAAAACUUUCAAAUUUUCAAUUUUUAGUCUGAAAACGUCAAAUGACGUCCGAUUUAAACCAAACUUUACAGAUAGAGCUUAACACUCAUUUAAGACUUGUACCGGGCGUUGGAACAACCCGAUACCAUUACUUUUGAUCAAUUUUCAUUUCAUUUUUUCCUUAAGCAUUUUCAAAAAACAAUCUCAUAGAAAAGUUCUGUACUAGGGCCUAAGACCUCAGAUUUCGAUUCCGCGUAUACGCCCGGGUUCCAAUUUUCCUUACGGACCCUCCGGGACCGUCACAUCACGGGUCCGGUUGCGAUUACCCAAAAUAUUGACCAAAGUCAACUAUAGCAAUAUUAUUAUCAAAACUCAUAGUUUUUAGCACAGAACUCAAUUAUUUGCACAUAAAAUUUUUCCGGCUUCGCGGCCAGAUUGCGCACAAAAAUCGAGGCAAUCAAAUAAGAGGUUUUACAGGCCGCAGAAGCACAAAUAAAAGGAUAAUUAAGGUGAUGACCCUUUGGGUCUUCACAUCCUCCACCUCUAAAACAACCGUUCAUCCUCGAAAAGACAAAAGAAAUAAGUACCUGAGUCGGGGAAUAUAUGGGGAUAACGGCUCCGCAUAUCAGACUCGGAAUCCCAGGUCAAUGCCUCAAGAGGCUGACCUAUCCACUAAACACGCACUGAAGGAAAACUACGCGACCUCAACUGUCGAACUUGCCGAUCUAAAAUAGCCAUCGGCUCCUCCUCAUAUGAUAGAUCCUUGUCCAAUUGGACAGUACUAAAUCUAACAUAUGGGCGAUGUCGCCAUGAUACUUCCGAAGCAUGGAUACAUGAAGAACCGGAUGCACGGCUGACAAGCUAGGCGGCAAGGCAUGUCUAUAAGGCACCUUCCCCACAAGGUCAAUAAUCUCAAAUGGUCCAAAUACCUAGGGCUAAGCUUGCCCUUCUUCCCGAAUAUCAUCACGCCCUUCAUAGGCGAUACACGGAGCAAUACUCGCUCACCCACCAUGAAAGCAACAUCCCUGACCUUACGAUCUGCAUAACUCUUCUGCCUAGACUGAGCUGACCGAAGUUUGUCCUGAAUGAUCUUGACCUUAUCCAAGGCCUCCAGUACCAAGUCUGUACCCAAUAACCGAGCCUCUCCCAGCUCAAACCAUCUGACUGGGGACCUACAGCGCCUACCAUACAACGCCUUAUAUGGAGUCAUCUGAAUACUGGACUGGUAGUUGUUGUUGUAGGCAAACUCUGCUAAAGGCAAGAACUGGUCNNNNNNNNNNNNNNNNNNNNNNNNNNNNNNNNNNNNNNNNNNNNNNNNNNNNNNNAACAUACGCCAAAUAUGCUAGAAACCCCAAAUUCUCUAAAGGCAAGAACUGGUCCCACGAGCCUCCAAAAUCCAUAACGCAGGCUCGCAGCAUAUCCUCAAGAAUUUGAAUAGUCCUCUCGGACUGACCGUUCGUCUGGGGGUGAAAUAUUGUACUCAGCUGGACCUGGGUGCCCAACUCAUGUUGCACUACUCUCCAGAAAUGCGAGGUAAACUGCGGACCCCGGUCCGAAAUAAUAGUUAUGGUCACCCCAUGAAGGCGAACGAUCUCCCUAAUAUAAAUAUCAGCAUACCUCUUGGAUGAAUAGGUAGUGGAAACUGGGAUAAAAUGUGAUGACUUAGUCAGCCUAUCAACAAUAACCCAUAUAACAUCAAACUUCUUCCGAGUCAUCGGAAGGCCAAUAACAAAAUCCAUGGUGAUUCUCUCCCUCUUACACUCGGGAAGAUCAAUCCACUGAAUAACCCACCGGGCCUCUGAUGCUCGUACUUAAUCUUCUGACAAUUCAAACAACGAGCCACAUAUGCAACAAUGUCUUUAUUCAUUCUGCGCCACCAAUAAUGUUAUCUUAGAUCCUGAUAUAUCUUCGUGGUUCCCGGGUGAAUAGAAUACCGAGAACUGUGGGCCUCCGCUAAGAUCGACUCUCGAAUACCAUUAACAUUGGGCACACAGACUCGCCCCUGCAACCUCAAUACGUUGUCAUCUCCCAAAGUCAUCUCCCCGGCACCUCAUCUCUGCACCGUAUCUCUCAGGACACACAAAUGGGGAUCAUCAAACUACCGCUCCCGGAUACGCUCCAUCAAUGACAAGCAACCGUGCAAGCUAACACUCUGCUGGGCUCAGAAAUAUCCAAUCUCACAAAUCUAUUGGCCAAGGCCUGAACAUCCAAGGCAAGCGACGUCUAGCUGACUGGAAUAUAUGCAAGACUACCCAUGCUGGCGGACUUCCUACUCAAAGCAUCAACCACCACAUUGGCCUUUCCCGGGUAGUAUAAAAUAGAAAUAUCAUAAUCUUUCAACAACUCCAACCAUCUCCACCAUCUCAAAUUCAACUCCUUCUGCUUGAAUAAGUACUGAAGGCUCUUGUGAUCCAUGUACACCUCACACAUCACACCAUACAAAUAAUGCCUCCAGAUCUUCAAGGCAUUAACAAUGGCUGCCAACUCUAGGUCAUGAACUGGAUAAUUCUUCUCGUGGAUCUUCAACUGCCUCAAAGCAUAUGCUAUGACCUUGCCGUUCUGCAUUAACACUACGCCAAGCCCGAUGCGAGAAGCAUCACAAUACACAGUAUAAGGCACGGAUCUCGUGGGCAAAACCAAUACCAGUGCCGUAGUCAGAGCUGUCUUAAGCUUGUGGAAGCUUGCCUCGCACUCAUCUGACCACCUGAACUGGCACCCUUCUGGGUCAAAAUAGUCAUCGGGGCUGCGAUGGAUGAAAACCCCUCCACGAAAUGUAUGUAGUAACCAGCUAACCCCAAGAAGCUCCGAAUCUCUGUAGCUGAAGCUGGUCGGGGCCAGUUUUUGACUGCCUCUAUCUUUUUCGGGUCCACCUGAAUACACAUGACCCAUAAAUGCGACUGAACUCAACCAAAAUUCGCACUUUGAGAACUUGGCGUACAACUGGCUAUCCUUAGAAUCUAACGAACCACUCUGAGGUGUUGUUCAUGCUCCUCCUAGUUGCGAGAGUAUACCAAGAUGUCGUUAAUGAAUACAAUCACAAAUAAAUCCAUAUAAGGUCUAAACACUCGGUUCAUCAACUCGAUGAAUGCUGUCGGGGCAUUGGUCAACCCAAACGACAUGACUAAAAACUCAUAAUGCCCAUACCGAGUACAAAAUGUGUCUUGGGGACAUGAGACGCCCUAAUCCUCAGCUGAUGAUAACCAGACCUCAAUCUGUCUUCGAGAACACCCUGGCACCCUGGAGCUGGUCAAACAAAUCGUCAAUCAUCGGCAGUGGAUACUUGUUCUUUAUCUUCACCUUGUUCAACUGCCGGUAAUCAAUGCACAUUCUCAUCGACCCGUCCUUUUUCUUCACAAACAAUACUGGUGCACCCCAAAGUUAUACACUGGGUCUCAUGAAACCCUUAUCAAGCAAGUCCUGAAGUUUCUCCUUCAACUCUUUCAACUCUGGCGGGGCCAAGCGAUACAGCAGAAUAGAAAUAGGCUGAGUAAUAGGAGCCAGAUCAAUACAGAAAUCAAUAUCCCUGUCAGGCGGCAUACCCGGCAGGUCUGAAGGAAAAACCUUGGGGAACUCCCGAACAAUAGGAACAGAGUCGACAAAUGGGACCUCAGCGUUGGAGUCAUGAACAUAUGCCAAAUAUGCUAGACACCCCUUCUCAACCAUACGUCGAGCCUUGACAUACGAAAUAACAUUACGUGUGGCAUGACCUGGGUCCCUCUCCACUCAAGUCGGGGAAAAUCUGGCAAGGCCAAAGUCAAGGUAUUGGCGUGACAAUCCAAGAUAGCAUAAUACGGAGACAACCAGUCCAUCCCCAAUAUAACAUAGAAGUACACCAUGUCUAAAAGCAAUAAGUCGACACGGGUCUCAAGACCCUCAAAUACCACCACACAAGAAUGAUGCACUUGGUGUCUCGAUCGACUACUAUAGAAACACCAACCGUUGUGGACACAUAUACAGGAAUACCCAAAGCCUCACUAGUCAUGAUCAAAUAGGGUGCAAAAUAGGACGACACAUAAGAAUAAGUAGAUCUCGGAUCAAAUAAUGCCGAAGCACCUCAAUCACAGAGUAGUAUAGUACCUUUACAGUCUCUACCUCCACAUCUAUAAUCCUUACCCCCACCUCUAGCUGGCUGGGCAGCUUGUGGAUCUCCUAUUGCCUCAACCGUAGGGCGAGGACCUUGCUGCGGAGAACUACUCUAGGCUCGAGGGCAAAACCUAACAACAUGACCUGGGUCACCACAAACAUAACAUGCCCUCGGUAGCUGGGACUUCUGGCCCUGUCGAUUGGUAUGUCCUCCCUUGAAGCUCUGAAGUGACGGUGCACUGAUGGGGGAUGGUGGUGCACUGACGGGCUGCUGGUCUGAAUAAUACUGCUAAUGACCACCACCGCCUGGGGUACCAUGAGAAACCUGAAGUGCCGACUGGAAAGGCCUCGGAGCAUGCCCUCUGUCCUUGGAAUCCCUACCUCCAAAGGUACUGCUAAUUCUGCCAGAAUAUCGAGGCCUAUUGUCUGAACCAUGACUACCUUCUUCAUACUGCUAAUGACCACCACCGCCUGGGGUACCAUGAGAAACCUGAAGUGCCGACUGGAAAGGCCUCGGAGGAUGGCCUCUGUCAUAUGAAUCCCUACCUCUAGAUGAGGUACCACUAAAUUUGCCAGAAUGUCGAGGCCUCUUGUCUGGACCCUAAUACCUCAUCGAACCAAUUCCAUCUCUACCCAGAGCCGCAUUGGUCGCCUACCGAAAGGUAAUAUCACUGCCAACUCGCAUAGCCAUCUGAAGGUGAAUCGGCUGAAUCAAUCCAUCAAUGAACCUCCGGACCAUCUCUCGCUCUGUAGGGGGUAUCACUACUGCAUGGCGUUCCAAGUCAAUAAAUCUGGUCUCAUACUGUGUAACUAUCACGGAGCCCUGCUGAAGGCGCUCAAACUGUCAACGAAGUGCCCCCCGCUGAGAGAUAGGGAGAAACUUCUCCAAAAAUAACUCCGUGAACUGAUCCCAUUUCAAAGCUGGUGACCCUGCUGGUCUAGAUAGGCAAUAAUCCCUCCACCAAGUCUUUGCGGAUCCCACAAGCUUGAAGGUUCAAAAAUCGAGCCCAUUGGUCUCUACUAUCCCCAGAGUCCUGAGGAUCUCAUGACAACUGAAUAGAAAGUCUUGGGCAUCCUUUGAUGAACCACCGCUGAAAGUGGUAGUGAAGAUCUUGGAGAACCGAUCAAGCCUCCAUAAAUCAUCUGAAGACAUGGCCAUCCCAUCUCCGGCCUGAGCUGUAAUGCUUGUCUAAGCUGCCACUGCGGGCUAAACCAAUGGAACCUGAGUCUGGGGAGCUACCUGCUCCGGAGUACGUGUAGCAGGAGUCUGAACCCCUUCUCCAGCCUGAGAAGUGGCUGGUGCUACUGGCAGCGGUCCUGCUCUAGUGACACUGUCCAUAAAGCCUGCUAUGCGGACAAGAGCAUCCUGGAGUUCCGAGGAAAAUAUCACUCCUCCUAGGACCUGAGAUGGGCGUGCUGGAGCUGGUGGGGCUGGAACCUCCUGAUCAAAGUCAAUAUGAGGCUCCACCUCUGGAACUGCUGUCCGAGGCUUGGCUCUGCCCCUGCCCCUGCCUCUGGCACGGCCUCGGCCCCUGCCCCUCGUGGGAGCUGCUGCUGGGGGCUCGAGAUGCUGCAUGGAAGAAGAAGACGCACGUGUUCUCGCCAUCUGCGAAAGAACAGAGUAUAACGACAAUCAAUAUUUGAGAAACAGAAUCGCACGGCAAUAGUGAACAAAGUGAAUUUUUUCUUAACUCUGUAGCCUCUGGGGGAUAAAUACAGACAUCUCCGUACCGAUCCCUCAGACUCUACCGAGCUUGUCCGUGAGUUGUGAGACCCAAGUAACCUAGUGCUCUGAUUCAAACUUGUCACGACCCAGAUUUUCCCACCAUCGGGAGUCGUGAUGGCGCCUACUGUCGAAGCUAGUCAAGCCAACCCUUUUUAAUCAUUUUCACAAAAAAUCUUAAUCUAAAAUAAUAUAAAUACUGAAAUAAUUAAUUAAAACCAUGUAGAAGACAUUUAGCAACAAUAGCAAUGAUAAAGUGCGAAAAUUAGUAACAUGCCUCUACCCAGUAUCUAGUGUCACUACUCACGGGCGAUUAAAAGAGUACUAAAAAUAACAGUUUGAAAGAAAUACAUAACAUAUCUGUUUUGAUACAAUUAAAACAAACUAGAAGAGAUAGAGGAGACUCAAGGCCCGCGAAUGCCAGCGAACUACCUAGGAGUCUCUGGACUGAAGUAUCGCUCCCUAACUCCUGUUGCGGUGCGUAAGGUGUGUCCUGACAUGUGCACAAAAAGGCACAUAAGUGUAGUAUUAGCACAACCGACCCCAUGUGCUGGUAAGUGCCCGGCCUAACCACGGCGAGGUAGUGACGAGGCUAAACCGGACCUACCACAAUCAACCUGUACAAAUAUAUGUGCAAUAACAGAAAGAUAACAAAAAUUUUAAUAGAUAAUAGGGAGGGGACAUGCUGGGGGUGUAACAGUCAAUUAUAAAUCCAACAAACAAAAAAUGGAACUAAAUAUAUAACAUUAAGUAGAGAAAGCCAGUGAAUCAACAACUGCACGGCACCACCCUUCGUGCUUUUACUCUCAUUUCUCACCAAAACUGUCAAAUAUAAUGCACGAUGUCACACCUCUUUUUUCACUGUACACCCCCGCAAAAGGGAGCGUAAAUGAGUUUUUCCAAUUAAAGAACAAUCGGAACGAAAUUUGUUAUUAUCUAUUCAGAGUCGCCACUUGGGAGAUUAAUGGUGUCCCAAGUUACAGAUUGAAUCCCGAACCUAAGAAAAAGAUGACUCUGUUCACAGUCCGCGAACCAGAAAUGUGGAUAAGAAAUUUAGUUAAACCGGGAGAUGGUGUCAGGAAUUCUCGAGUUCCGUGCUUCUAGCACGGUCACUCAACUGUUGUAUUUAACUUUAACUGAUUUAUUACAUGAAGAACCUAUGUGCCAAUUUUUACUUUUUACUGCUUUUAUUUAAUAUGAUAUUUAUUUAAGGAAGUGAAUGUCGUUUAAAAUGUGUUUUCGGAUUGCGCCGCAUCAAAUGAACCUGCAAUCCUAGACACACUCUAUUUAACGUGUUAGGAUUUGGAUUUGGGCCGCAUAAAAUGUCCACCCGUAUUUAGGAAUAUAAUUUAUUAAAUUCGCGCCUAAUAGGGUCUAACGCGUUGUAAUCUUUUGGGAGGGCCAUGAAAUUCGCUAAACGGCCCUUCGAUUAUCUAAAUAUUUUCUACACCUUUAUUAAGGGCCCCGUAAUUUGCAUUUUUGUUGGCGAUGCUCGUCUCAUUUUAUUUUAAAAGGAUAAAUCUAAAAGGUAACUACAAUUUCUAUUUUUGAUUUUUGUCUCUAAUAACGAAAGAAUGAUCCUAAUUAAUUAUGUUUAAAAUCCGGGCAUUAAGUUCAGGUCGGGGUCCAAACAAAAGGACGAACCUUUUAGUUUAAAUCCCGCUACCUAACUCAAAACCUGAAUUCCUUUAAUCUAAUUAUGUAGUUCAGUUAAAGAAUAGCAACCUAAUUCUAUACCGUGCAAAAUCAUAUUCAGCUACAGCUAAUUCGAGAAGCUUGUCAUAAGCGCACACAGAUAUUGCACUAGUGCCUAGUCAGACGUCUGUUCCCAUUUAUGGAUAUGUUUCGAGUCAUUAUCAAAUAGGAAACAUUCAAAUUAUUAUCACAUACAGCGAAAAUCUGACACCAAAUCCACAUGAGUUAUUGAAUUAAUGAUAUAAUACCUUAUUUAAAAUUCUGAAGGAAUCCUACAAUUUUUAUCAAAGUAAGAGACAGACUUGGAAAUAUGAAUGAACCAAUAAAUAAAAUUACACCUUAAUCCUGAACCCGCAUAUACAACAUCAGUUUAAUGAAUUUGACCCAAACCCACUUUGAUCAACCCCCACAAUUCCAACAAGUCACUGUUUUUCAUUUCCAUUUUGAAAAUACCCGCAGAUCAUUGCAUCCUAUGUGAUAAAUUUGUCAUGGAUUUGAAUAUUCAUCGCUAAACUAAGAACAUAUUCAAGUAGUUCAUAUUUCUUCAAGUUAACGUGGAAUGCUACGCGACAUUGACCUCAAAUUGUAAUCACAAAACCUGCAGAAUAAAUGACUUAACAAAGCGAUAAGGCCCAGUAAUCCAAUUCAAUAACAACACUGUGCAAUUCUAUACGACCAAGUCUUCUACAACAUUUUAGCUACUCAAAGUGCAAUAACAAUUAAGCUACUAAUGACAAUCUGUGUCAUUCAGCCAAGCACAAAACUCCUGCAAUUUUGAAGUAACUUGACACAAACCAGCAGUCUAUCAGUGUACAAAAUAGUCCAACGAAAUCCAUCAUGUAUACACGACAAAUCGACACUCGGUUAUAUAAAACAGUGCAUCCAAUAUCUUUUAACUACUGAUAUGCAACAAUCCAGCAAGCAGAUUUCAUGACCAAAACAGCUGGGCAAUUCUAUUCCAUUUCAGAGCUUGGAAUUGUAGUAGAAUUUCGAGUGUAUACAUGGAGAUAUAAAAUGCAAUGAAGAAGAAGAGGAAGUCAGCAACAACAAGCAGAUAAUCAAAUGCAGCCCAGGAAUGAAAUCAACAGUCCAUAAAUGCUUUAAAACCACAUAGGUCCAAUAGAAUCAACCCAAACAGCACCCAAAAUAACCAGAAAUGAACCCACAAAUCAAUACACUCGUCAAAUAACCCACAACCAAUUCAAUCAAAUCACACCCAAACCAACGAGUGAAUCCACACCUAUUUCUGAUCCUAAAUGAACUGGGAGUGCUGUUUUUGGGGACGAAAUUUUCAGGGUUCACAAAACAGACCCAAAAUCAAGCCAUGAGAUAAAAUGUUGAAAGCUAUGACCUGACAGUGGACUGAACCUCAAUGAAAUAAUGAAAUUUUAUGGUUUUCCUAAUUUUGUAUAUAUACUUUAUUUGUGUUUUUGAGUAUUUGAAUGCAGAAAUUAAUAUGAAGCUAAAUGAAAAGGAAAAUUAGAUUUCUUAUGGAAUUGUUUUUGAGCUGAAAAAUUGAAUACCAUUUUUCAAGGCAUCUUGAAGCCCUUUUAUAGGCAACAUGAAUCAGAUUUUUUGUUUUCAUUUUAGUCCCCCCUUAUUUCAUUUUGAUCCUUAUUUUUCUAACUUGUUGCCCAAGUAAGUACCUCUUAUUUACUGAAAUGCACACUAAAGUACCAUUCUAGAAGGUCUGAUACCCGUUACAAUUCCUAAACUACCAUUCCCUACUUUGGAAAUUACUAUUCUUAAAAGAAACUACCAUUUUCCCAUGCCCAAACUACUCUUACCUUCGCCUGAAAUUACUAACCCCUUACCCUGAUUAACAGACUAAACUAACAAUCCCUAUUAACAAAUCAAAGCUAAAAACUAAUGCCACGAACUAAAGCCAUCUAUCAGAUUAAUUAGAAAGAAACAAAAAAAGUCCCAACGCAAUUAAACUUAUUCUACUUAGCACUGAUAAGGAAAAGACGAUUGCGAGCAAGGCGAAAACCCAAACAGAAAUUAACGUUAAGAACUUUGGUCAAAGAAUUCAUGCAUGCAUAGAAACAGAAAAAAAAGAAAUAAAGAAAUGAAACGAAAUCAACAGACAAGGAUGAUAAGAACUCACUGAUACACACAAAGACUCCAACCAACCUUUACAGACGAAUUCGAACUAAUCUAGUGGGAAUGGAAUGCCAUUGCUUGUGAGUUCUUCAUGAGGAAGGUUUACUGACCAUGUAGCAUCGACUUGGUAACUCCUUAUGAGAAUUCAGAUUUCCCGGCCAAUUUCAAUUCCAAUUUCGAUAGGCUUGAUGGUGAUUCAAAGAGAAUGGCUUGGGUAUUUGGGAUGAGGAAGUUCAGGCGAGUCUAUGGUGCAAAUUUGGUGGUAUUUGGCACACUUUGUGUUUUGACCGGAAAAUUUCAAUUGGACAUUCGAGGGCCUGGGAUAGGAUUCGAGAGAUGACAGUGUGAGGGUUGGAAAGAGGAGAAGAGGGGUAUCUCAAUGGUGUCCUUUUGAUGGUCAUUGGCGUAACUAGCGUUUCCCGCCGGCUAGGGAUUCCGGCGAGAAUUAGGGGUAUACGAGGAAGAAGACUAUAUGUCUUUAAUUCUGAUUAAC